GGGUUGUGAGGUUAAGCGACUAAGCGUACACGGUGGAUGCCCUGGCAGUCAGAGGCGAUGAAGGACGUGCUAAUCUGCGAUAAGCGUCGGUAAGGUGAUAUGAACCGUUAUAACCGGCGAUUUCCGAAUGGGGAAACCCAGUGUGUUUCGACACACUAUCAUUAACUGAAUCCAUAGGUUAAUGAGGCGAACCGGGGGAACUGAAACAUCUAAGUACCCCGAGGAAAAGAAAUCAACCGAGAUUCCCCCAGUAGCGGCGAGCGAACGGGGAGCAGCCCAGAGCCUGAAUCAGUGUGUGUGUUAGUGGAAGCGUCUGGAAAGGCGCGCGAUACAGGGUGACAGCCCCGUACACAAAAAUGCACAUGCUGUGAGCUCGAUGAGUAGGGCGGGACACGUGGUAUCCUGUCUGAAUAUGGGGGGACCAUCCUCCAAGGCUAAAUACUCCUGACUGACCGAUAGUGAACCAGUACCGUGAGGGAAAGGCGAAAAGAACCCCGGCGAGGGGAGUGAAAAAGAACCUGAAACCGUGUACGUACAAGCAGUGGGAGCACGCUUAGGCGUGUGACUGCGUACCUUUUGUAUAAUGGGUCAGCGACUUAUAUUCUGUAGCAAGGUUAACCGAAUAGGGGAGCCGAAGGGAAACCGAGUCUUAACUGGGCGUUAAGUUGCAGGGUAUAGACCCGAAACCCGGUGAUCUAGCCAUGGGCAGGUUGAAGGUUGGGUAACACUAACUGGAGGACCGAACCGACUAAUGUUGAAAAAUUAGCGGAUGACUUGUGGCUGGGGGUGAAAGGCCAAUCAAACCGGGAGAUAGCUGGUUCUCCCCGAAAGCUAUUUAGGUAGCGCCUCGUGAAUUCAUCUCCGGGGGUAGAGCACUGUUUCGGCAAGGGGGUCAUCCCGACUUACCAACCCGAUGCAAACUGCGAAUACCGGAGAAUGUUAUCACGGGAGACACACGGCGGGUGCUAACGUCCGUCGUGAAGAGGGAAACAACCCAGACCGCCAGCUAAGGUCCCAAAGUCAUGGUUAAGUGGGAAACGAUGUGGGAAGGCCCAGACAGCCAGGAUGUUGGCUUAGAAGCAGCCAUCAUUUAAAGAAAGCGUAAUAGCUCACUGGUCGAGUCGGCCUGCGCGGAAGAUGUAACGGGGCUAAACCAUGCACCGAAGCUGCGGCAGCGACGCUGAUGCGUUGUUGGGUAGGGGAGCGUUCUGUAAGCCUGCGAAGGUGUGCUGUGAGGCAUGCUGGAGGUAUCAGAAGUGCGAAUGCUGACAUAAGUAACGAUAAAGCGGGUGAAAAGCCCGCUCGCCGGAAGACCAAGGGUUCCUGUCCAACGUUAAUCGGGGCAGGGUGAGUCGACCCCUAAGGCGAGGCCGAAAGGCGUAGUCGAUGGGAAACAGGUUAAUAUUCCUGUACUUGGUGUUACUGCGAAGGGGGGACGGAGAAGGCUAUGUUGGCCGGGCGACGGUUGUCCCGGUUUAAGCGUGUAGGCUGGUUUUCCAGGCAAAUCCGGAAAAUCAAGGCUGAGGCGUGAUGACGAGGCACUACGGUGCUGAAGCAACAAAUGCCCUGCUUCCAGGAAAAGCCUCUAAGCAUCAGGUAACAUCAAAUCGUACCCCAAACCGACACAGGUGGUCAGGUAGAGAAUACCAAGGCGCUUGAGAGAACUCGGGUGAAGGAACUAGGCAAAAUGGUGCCGUAACUUCGGGAGAAGGCACGCUGAUAUGUAGGUGAAGUCCCUUGCGGAUGGAGCUGAAAUCAGUCGAAGAUACCAGCUGGCUGCAACUGUUUAUUAAAAACACAGCACUGUGCAAACACGAAAGUGGACGUAUACGGUGUGACGCCUGCCCGGUGCCGGAAGGUUAAUUGAUGGGGUCAGCGCAAGCGAAGCUCUUGAUCGAAGCCCCGGUAAACGGCGGCCGUAACUAUAACGGUCCUAAGGUAGCGAAAUUCCUUGUCGGGUAAGUUCCGACCUGCACGAAUGGCGUAAUGAUGGCCAGGCUGUCUCCACCCGAGACUCAGUGAAAUUGAACUCGCUGUGAAGAUGCAGUGUACCCGCGGCAAGACGGAAAGACCCCGUGAACCUUUACUAUAGCUUGACACUGAACAUUGAGCCUUGAUGUGUAGGAUAGGUGGGAGGCUUGGAAGUGUGGACGCCAGUCUGCAUGGAGCCGACCUUGAAAUACCACCCUUUAAUGUUUGAUGUUCUAACGUUGACCCGUAAUCCGGGUUGCGGACAGUGUCUGGUGGGUAGUUUGACUGGGGCGGUCUCCUCCUAAAGAGUAACGGAGGAGCACGAAGGUUGGCUAAUCCUGGUCGGACAUCAGGAGGUUAGUGCAAUGGCAUAAGCCAGCUUGACUGCGAGCGUGACGGCGCGAGCAGGUGCGAAAGCAGGUCAUAGUGAUCCGGUGGUUCUGAAUGGAAGGGCCAUCGCUCAACGGAUAAAAGGUACUCCGGGGAUAACAGGCUGAUACCGCCCAAGAGUUCAUAUCGACGGCGGUGUUUGGCACCUCGAUGUCGGCUCAUCACAUCCUGGGGCUGAAGUAGGUCCCAAGGGUAUGGCUGUUCGCCAUUUAAAGUGGUACGCGAGCUGGGUUUAGAACGUCGUGAGACAGUUCGGUCCCUAUCUGCCGUGGGCGCUGGAGAACUGAGGGGGGCUGCUCCUAGUACGAGAGGACCGGAGUGGACGCAUCACUGGUGUUCGGGUUGUCAUGCCAAUGGCACUGCCCGGUAGCUAAAUGCGGAAGAGAUAAGUGCUGAAAGCAUCUAAGCACGAAACUUGCCCCGAGAUGAGUUCUCCCUGACUCCUUGAGAGUCCUGAAGGAACGUUGAAGACGACGACGUUGAUAGGCCGGGUGUGUAAGCGCAGCGAUGCGUUGAGCUAACCGGUACUAAUGAACCGUGAGGCUUAACCUUACAACGCCGAAG
rnacentral:rRNA from 1 species